rnacentral:lncRNA from 1 species
ACAGCAAUGAGAAAAGAGCAGAAGUCUCAGGUGUUACAGGGAUUUCUGCUAUUUCUGCCUUUUCUCUUCGAAUUUCCCAAAUGAUUGGCUACGAGCAAGUUUUCCUCAGGUCCACGUUACAGUCCAACACAGUGAGCACAUCCAGGAAGUCCCAACAGUAGAAUUUCUGAGGGAGGGGACACAUCAUACCCAUUGCUAAGAGCAGAGAGAAAAUGAAUGGAUGCCUGCAAAUCUACUGAGUUGGCUUGUUCCUCUUCUGGUAAUUCAGGAUUCAGACUCUAGAAUGGUACAGUUCAUAUUGGGUGGGUCUUCCCAU